CAGUCGCCGCGGGAAUACCAGCAGCCCAAGUGGUGGUCGCGCUUAUUGGGCCUAAAGCGCUCGUAGCCUGGCCGGUAAGUUCCCCGUGAAAUCGGGUCGCCCAACGAUUCGGCUUGCGGGGAAUACUGUCGGUCUUGGGGCCGGGAGACGCCGAGGGUACUCCGGGGGUAGCGGUGAAAUGCUGUAAUCCUCGGGGGACUACCAGUGGCGAAGGCGCUCGGCGAUAACGGGCCUGACGGUGAGGGGCGAAAGCUGGGGGCGCGAACGGGAUUAGAUACCCCCGUAGUCCCUGUCUCUUAUA
rnacentral:rRNA from 1 species